rnacentral:rRNA from 1 species
CCAUGCAGUCGAACGGUAACAGGCCGCAAGGUGCUGACGAGUGGCGAACGGGUGAGUAAUGCAUCGGAACGUGCCCAGUAGUGGGGGAUAGCCCGGCGAAAGCCGGAUUAAUACCGCAUACGACCUACGGGUGAAAGCGGGGGACCGCAAGGCCUCGCGCUAUUGGAGCGGCCGAUGUCAGAUUAGGUAGUUGGUGGGGUAAAGGCCUACCAAGCCUGCGAUCUGUAGCUGGUCUGAGAGGACGACCAGCCACACUGGGACUGAGACACGGCCCAGACUCCUACGGGAGGCAGCAGUGGGGAAUUUUGGACAAUGGGCGCAAGCCUGAUCCAGCCAUGCCGCGUGCGGGAAGAAGGCCUUCGGGUUGUAAACCGCUUUUGUCAGGGAAGAAAUCUUCUGGGUUAAUACCUCGGGAGGAUGACGGUACCUGAAGAAUAAGCACCGGCUAACUACGUGCCAG